rnacentral:lncRNA from 1 species
GACAGGGUCUCACCAUGUUGGCCAGGCUGGUCUUGAUCUCCUGACCUUGUGAUCCGCCCACCUCGGCCUCCCAAAGUGCUGGGAUUACAGGUGUGAGCCACCGCGCCUGGCCCUCAAUCUCUAUCUUUUUUAUAUCUGGAUUGAAUAGACUUUACCAUGGAUAAAUCUCCACCCUGGCAGAUUUAGGACUUUACUUGGAAAUACAGAUAUUCUAAAUGGAAUUAAAUGUCCUAUUAUCAGUGGCAUUCAUCACAUUCAACAAAAUAGCAUCAUAAAAGGUUGAUAUUGUUGAGCGUAAUGAAUACCUGAACUCCAGUUACAUAAAGAUGAGGAUCAUGUCUCUUCAUAUUACCUUAAUGUCAUUACAUUUUGUAGAAAAACUUGUCUCAGGCUGGGCGCAGUGGCUCACGCCUGUAAUCCCGGCACAUUGAGAGGCUGAGGCAGGCAGAUCACAAAGUCAGGAGAUCGAGACCAUCCUGGCUAACAUGGUGAAACCCCGUCUCUACUAUAAAUACAAAAAAUUAGCCAGGCGUGGUGGCGG